GCGGGACACGUGGUAUCCUGUCUGAAUAUGGGGGGACCAUCCUCCAAGGCUAAAUACUCCUGACUGACCGAUAGUGAACCAGUACCGUGAGGGAAAGGCGAAAAGAACCCCGGCGAGGGGAGUGAAAAAGAACCUGAAACCGUGUACGUACAAGCAGUGGGAGCCUCUUAAUGGGGUGACUGCGUACCUUUUGUAUAAUGGGUCAGCGACUUAUAUUCUGUAGCAAGGUUAACCGAAUAGGGGAGCCGAAGGGAAACCGAGUCUUAACUGGGCGCUAAGUUGCAGGGUAUAGACCCGAAACCCGGUGAUCUAGCCAUGGGCAGGUUGAAGGUUGGGUAACACUAACUGGAGGACCGAACCGACUAAUGUUGAAAAAUUAGCGGAUGACUUGUGGCUGGGGGUGAAAGGCCAAUCAAACCGGGAGAUAGCUGGUUCUCCCCGAAAGCUAUUUAGGUAGCGCCUCGUGAAUUCAUCUCCGGGGGUAGAGCACUGUUUCGGCAAGGGGGUCAUCCCGACUUACCAACCCGAUGCAAACUGCGAAUACCGGAGAAUGUUAUCACGGGAGACACACGGCGGGUGCUAACGUCCGUCGUGAAGAGGGAAACAACCCAGACCGCCAGCUAAGGUCCCAAAGUCAUGGUUAAGUGGGAAACGAUGUGGGAAGGCCCAGACAGCCAGGAUGUUGGCUUAGAAGCAGCCAUCAUUUAAAGAAAGCGUAAUAGCUCACUGGUCGAGUCGGCCUGCGCGGAAGAUGUAACGGGGCUAAACCAUGCACCGAAGCUGCGGCAGCGACACUAUGUGUUGUUGGGUAGGGGAGCGUUCUGUAAGCCUGUGAAGGUGGCCUGUGAGGGUUGCUGGAGGUAUCAGAAGUGCGAAUGCUGACAUAAGUAACGAUAAAGCGGGUGAAAAGCCCGCUCGCCGGAAGACCAAGGGUUCCUGUCCAACGUUAAUCGGGGCAGGGUGAGUCGACCCCUAAGGCGAGGCCGAAAGGCGUAGUCGAUGGGAAACAGGUUAAUAUUCCUGUACUUGGUGUUACUGCGAAGGGGGGACGGAGAAGGCUAUGUUGGCCGGGCGACGGUUGUCCCGGUUUAAGCGUGUAGGCUGGUUUUCCAGGCAAAUCCGGAAAACCAAGGCUGAGGCGUGAUGACGAGGCACUACGGUGCUGAAGCGA
rnacentral:rRNA from 1 species